rnacentral:misc_RNA from 1 species
UUGAAUUUGAUCUUGGCAUGACUGCCUUUUGAUAAUUUAUUAUCAUGCUGGGUGCUUAUAUUUAUUAUCAUUUUUUGGUAUUUGUUAUUUACAUGUAUAAAGUGGCAUUUUACAUCAUUUCUAUUUAUAUACAUCUACUGUACUGUGCCUAUUGCUUUAUUGUGAUCUGUGGGAAGAUGCCAUACUGUAUUGCUAGUUUGCCAAUUCUCCAUUUACAGUAAUUGUUGUUAAUUGUUUAAUUAUUGUAUGAAUCAUAUUAAAUGUUUAUUUUCUUCU